rnacentral:sRNA from 1 species
UUUUCUUUUGCUUUCUUGCUUUGAUACAGAAUCUCUUGACAUCCAGGCUGACUUUGGCCUUGAAAUAUUGCUGAAGAGGACCUUAAACUCCUAAAUCCUCCUGUCUCUGCCUCCCAAGAGUUGAGAUUACAGGUGCGGACCAGCAUGCCUGGAUAAACCCAGGUUUUCUUAUUACAGAGCUAAAACAAGCUGAACUAUAUCAAAGACUGGAUAUUUCCCUUAUAUAAACCAGAGCUUCUGAGUUCCAAGACACUUAGACACCACAAAGAUCCUUUUUACAUGAAACAUGGCAGAUUUGUCUUCCUCUCCACAGGGAAGGGCAUGGACUCUUACUAGCCAUUUCUGAAUCUCCAGAGCCGCACCUCACCUACAGAAGGUACUUAAGCAGUGUUGCUGAAUGAACGAACAGUUGACUCCAUAUAAGGAGAGAAGAACAGUAAACUAAAAUUAGAAACACUUUCAACCCCCUUUUUGAAAGCAGAAAUAACUUUCUCCUUGGGAAACUCUUCACAAACACAUUGUUUCCCCUUGUUCGAGGCACCCAAACAUUGACUCCUAAGUAAACCUGCUGUGGGUCUCAUGGGACAGCUCUCUGUCCACACCGAGAUGCCUCUCUGUCCACACCGAGAUGUUCGAGGAUAUGUUACCCCUCAUUAACAGCUCUGUCCUGGAUGACAGCAAAGGGCAAUUGCUAAUCUAACAACAGAAUGUAGGAGGUAAGAUCCCCACUCUCAAAUAGCUUAUAAACCAGAGACACAAGAGAUGGACAGGAAAAGACAGUGUCUCUUGGCGGGUUGUGCUAACGGCAAACUGGAUGGGACAGCAUGGACUGAGCUUUGAACUCUCCUCCAGUGACACGAUUCCUACAGUGCAAAAGCAGGGGCAGUGCUGGUGUGCUACAUAUAUGUAUUCAUCUAUUCUGAGAACAUUCCUUCACACUUCCCUGCACUUGUAAGGCUCUUCUGUCUGGAUCAGUGGCAGGGAUGGUAACUACAGCUGACUGACAUUACAGUGCCCACAAUCCCUUUCUCUCUUGCUACUUCCAACUGGAGGCAGACAGUGAAGUCAUAUACCACCACCACCCCCAGACUCCCACAUUGCCAGACAGGACCAAGGGGUCAGACAGUCUGUCUAACUAGAUUUGUGGAGAAUCUCACAAAGGGCUUCUGCAAAGGUUAUAUUUUCCUUGUGUAAAGUCUAAUGUUAGCCUGUUAUCUAUGGCCAUAAAAAAUACUUAGGACUGGUCCUUUAUGAAGAAGCUCAUUGGCUUCUGGUUCUGAAGUCAGGGGAGAUCAAGAAUGUGUGGUACCGGCAUCUACCCAGAAUCUAACGAGACAUUUCUUGUGCAUUGUAAUAUGGCAGAGGGCAUCACAUUAUUGAAACGCAGCAAGCAUAUCUCUUUCUACUUUCUUCAAGCCACGAAUGUGCAUUCUCAAGAGCUCAGCCAUUAUAAUUACUUUCCAAAGGCCCCAUCUCCAAAUAUACCAACAGAUGAAUUGGAGGAUCAACUUUCCAAGUUGUGAACUUUUGGGGGACACAUCUAAACCACAACCGUAACAAACUCAGGGGAUGUGACACGUUACCAUACAUAGACCCAUCCAAGGAUGAGCAACUGAGCCCAGAGCUGUGUAGACAAAAGCCUCGGGGCUACAACAGGAGUGAGUACCAGGCACGCAUCUCAUGACUUCAGUUCUGCCUGUCACCUCUGCUCCUCCUUCCUGCUUGUGUCUGCAGCCUCAGCUCGUCGCUAAUCUACACUAUUUGAGCUUAAUGCUGGCCCUGCUGUGUUCUAGAGGCUGCAGGUCCAGAGGUUGUAAACAUUAUCACUGUUGCAGAAUAAAAGACCAAUGGCCAGGGACCCCAGUUUUGUUUACUCUUUGUGGAGGUGCAGACUGCUUUGAAAAGCCCAGGCAAGUCACGGUUUGUCAGAAACUUUGACUUUCAUGAGAUAGCCCUGUGCUCUCUCAGAGGGCUUCAGACCUCCUUGGCCCACACAGAGUCUCAGAACGGAUCCUAGCUAUAGGCUACCUAGCCUGGGUGAGUAAAAUAGUAGUGUUUACUUCCCACAGGUCAAAACUUCAUUGCAGAUAAGACAUUGGAUAACAAGUGGAAAAAAAAAACCUAACUCUUAUUCUAGUUCGAGGAGAAUGUUUCCAAAUCAAUACCUUUUUACAGUUUCUUGAGUCUGAGCAAAAUCAAAACCGAGGUAGUGACUGUUACCGUACUCCCCUAAUACCUAGUCCAAGGCAAAUUCUUGUAAACUUCAGAAACAGGAAGUAGUUGUCACAGUUACUAUGCGUGUGCUUUGCCUACUCAGCGUGGGCUUCAAAGUGUACAGUGCAGACGGCAUUCGGCACUUGGAAAAUCUGAACGCAAACACAAAUAUUAGGUAGGUAGCCUGACCCCCGAGAAGAGCUUGCAGGCUUGAGCUUCAAGCAGUCCAUGUGUCGUCUCCUUUGUUAGGUCAACAAGAGAGUCAUGUCCUCCGGUGUGGUUUUUCUGACGAACACUGUGUCUCCUCAGAACAGUCACAGCAUGGCAUGUCCUGAGCAGGCAGUGAUGAACCAGUGAGAUUUUGAGGUAGCUCUCCCUAGCAGAGGAAGUUCUUAGGCCAGGAAGACCCUGGGGAAGGAGGACAAAGCUUGGUGCGGGACACGUGGUAGGUUCUGGAGAAUGAGUCCCCGUGGGAGAACAUGACUAGUCUGACCUGAGCCCAGGAUUUCUUUGCUGACAAAAGAGGCAAGGCUUGGCUUUCAGGCUGUGCUCGCUCAGUCACGAAUUCUCUCUCUGUUCUUUGUCUCUCUCUCCCUCUCUGUUGAGUUCCCCGUAGAGGGGUUGAUUUCCCUCUUGGAAAAAAUCCCCAUACGUUGUGUGCUUUGAUAAUUUAUAUCUUCCAUGGAGUCAAAACUCUUCACCUGUUAAUUUAGCUCUGCGUUUUUCUGGUCCCCAGAGGCCCAAGCUGAAGCCUUGGGCUCUCCUUUGAGUAGAGAGCCAGGGACAUGCUGUGUCCACUCUCUUGAUCGUGGGAUGGCUGAGGCUUCCAACGUGUAGCUUUCAGAAGACAUCGCAGCAGCAGCAGCGCCAGGCACUGAGGGUGGCUGUCUUUGUCUCAUGGUGUCCAUGGAUAUGUAGAGUUGCGAGAUGCAGCUAGAGAGUUAGGGUUAAAACACGUAUACACCUGCUUGUCUAGUCAGGGCUCAUAUAUAUUAGGCUAACCUCAAACUCACUGCGGAGCCAAGGAUGACCUUGAACUCCUCCUCAUCCCUCCACCUCUUUCUGAGUCCUGGCAUGAGCCAUCAAGCCUGUUUUGCUCAGGGUUGGAGAUUUACCCAAGGCCUUGUGCAUGCUACUACAUAAGCACUACUAAGCCACGUCCCCAGAGAGGACCAGAAAGGAGGUAAUACUAAGAAUUUAGAGUCUCUUUUAGGUAAAUCUAUCCAAACGAGCCCCUUUGUAGGGGGGAAAGACAGAUAAUGAUUCACAAAGAAGCUUCUGGAAAUCUGGUAGGUGGGGAAAUGCUUUGAAACAAAGAAGAAGAAAAGUCCCCAGGACUCAGUUGUGCCUUGAGCCAAAAUCGCAGUGAACAGUUGUUUGCCUGUGAUAGAUAACUCGAACGCUCCCUCCCUGUAUUUCUCAGAGGAGUGCAAACAUGUGAGGCCUUGAUUCUAUCUCUGGAACUAACCUUGUCUCCAUCAAGGGCCCCCAUCCCAUGCAGGGAUUUGAUGGAUGCAUGGAGAAUAACAAAAUGUCCCUCUCAUUAGGCUGGUUCCAAUCACUCCCCAGGACGACCCAAGGGACUGUGUCUACCCUCUCACUUACUAUUCCUGAACUCGCCCUCCAGGAGUUGGUAGAUGUGUGGCUAGCACCUGCAUCUCCAAAAGGAAGUAAGGGGAAUUCUCCUGGCAUCAUGGAUUCCCUUAGCCUGUGAUGAUCAGUCUGAUACCAAGAAAAAUAAAGUCAGGACCCCAGAGCCCAGAGCCUGACUCGGACUCUGCUCCCUCCUCCUAGCAUAUCCAAGGUAAGGGCCACCACCUAGUCAGGCCCUCCCCUUUACUUGCUAAGACGUAAGACCUUCUGAGCUACAAAAAAAAAAAAA